GUAGGUGGCAAGCGUUGUCCGGAAUUAUUGGGCGUAAAGCGCGCGCAGGUGGUUCUUUAAGUCUGAUGUGAAAGCCCCCGGCUCAACCGGGGAGGGUCAUUGGAAACUGGGGAACUUGAGUGCAGGAGAGGAAAGUGGAAUUCCACGUGUAGCGGUGAAAUGCGUAGAUAUGUGGAGGAACACCAGUGGCGAAGGCGACUUUCUGGCCUGUAACUGACACUGAGGCGCGAAAGCGUGGGGAGCAAACAGGAUUAGAUACCCUGGUAGUCCACGCCGUAAACGAUGAGUGCUAAGUGUUGGGGGGGGUUUCCCGCCCCCCCGUUCAGUGCUGCAGCUAACGCAUUAAGCACUCCGCCUGGGGAGUACGGUCGCAAGACUG
rnacentral:rRNA from 1 species